rnacentral:rRNA from 1 species
UCAAGUAAUUAAGUGCAUGUGGUGGAUGCCUUGGCAGUCAGAGGCGAUGAAAGACGUGAUAGCCUGCGAAAAGCUCCGGGGAGGCGGCAAAUAUCCUUUGAUCCGGAGAUGUCUGAAUGGGGGAACCCACCUACUUUAAGGUAGGUAUUGCAACAUGAAUACAUAGUGUUGCAAGGCGAACGAGGGGAAGUGAAACAUCUCAGUACCCUUAGGAAAAGAAAUCAAUUGAGAUUCCCUCAGUAGCGGCGAGCGAACGGGGAUCAGCCCAUUAAGUUAUGUGUGUUUUAGUGGAACGCUCUGGGAAGUGCGAACGUAGAGGGUGAUAUUCCCGUACACGAAAGGGCACACAUAAUGAUGACGAGUAGGGCGAGGCACGUGAAACCUUGUCUGAAUAUGGGGGGACCAUCCUCCAAGGCUAAAUACUCCUGACUGACCGAUAGUGAACCAGUACCGUGAGGGAAAGGCGAAAAGAACCCCUGUGAGGGGAGUGAAAUAGAUCCUGAAACCGCAUGCAUACAAGCAGUGGGAGCACCUUCGUGGUGUGACUGCGUACCUUUGUAUAAUGGGUCAGCGACUUAUAUUCAGUAGCGAGGUUAACCGUAUAGGGGAGCCGUAGAGAAAUCGAGUCUUAAUAGGGCGUUUAGUUGCUGGGUAUAGACCCGAAACCAGGCGAUCUAUCCAUGAGCAGGUUGAAGGUUGGGUAACACUAACUGGAGGACCGAACCCACUGUCGUUGAAAAGCCAGGGGAUGACUUGUGGAUAGGGGUGAAAGGCUAAUCAAGCCUGGUGAUAGCUGGUUCUCCCCGAAAGCUAUUUAGGUAGCGCCUCGGACGAAUACCAUAGGGGGUAGAGCACUGUUUCGGCUAGGGGGUCAUCCCGACUUACCAAACCGAUGCAAACUCCGAAUACCUAUGAGUACUAUCCGGGAGACAGACUGCGGGUGCUAACGUCCGUAGUCAAGAGGAAAACAAUCCAGACCGCCAGCUAAGGCCCCAAAAUCAUAGUUAAGUGGGAAACGAUGUGGGAAGGCAUAGACAGCUAGGAGGUUGGCUUAGAAGCAGCCACCCUUUAAAGAAAGCGUAAUAGCUCACUAGUCGAGUCGGCCUGCGCGGAAGAUGUAACGGGGCUAAAACUAUGUGCCGAAGCUGCGGAUGUAUACUUUGUAUACGUGGUAGGGGAGCGUUCUGUAAGCCGAUGAAGGUGUGUUGAGAAGCAUGCUGGAGGUAUCAGAAGUGCGAAUGCUGACGUGAGUAACGACAAAACGGGUGAAAAACCCGUUCGCCGAAAGACCAAGGGUUCCAGUCCAACGUUAAUCGGGGCUGGGUGAGUCGACCCCUAAGGCGAGGCCGAAAGGCGUAGUCGAUGGGAAAAUGGUUAAUAUUCCAUUACUUCUGUGUAAUGCGAUGAGAGGACGGAGAAGGCUAAAUCAGCCUGGCGUUGGUUGUCCAGGUGAAAGGAUGUAGGCAUGUAUCUUAGGCAAAUCCGGGGUACUCUAUGCUGAGAUCUGAUAGCAAGCUGUACUUGUACAGCGAAGUGGUUGAUGCCAUGCUUCCAGGAAAAGUCUCUAAGCUUCAGUUACACAGGAAUCGUACCCGAAACCGACACAGGUGGUCAGGUCGAGUAGACCAAGGCGCUUGAGAGAACUCUGCUGAAGGAACUAGGCAAAAUGGUACCGUAACUUCGGGAGAAGGUACGCUGUUGUUGGUGAUGGAACUCGCUUCCUGAGCUGACGACAGCCGCAGAAACCAGGCCGCUGCAACUGUUUAUUAAAAAACAUAGCACUCUGCAAACACGAAAGUGGACGUAUAGGGUGUGAUGCCUGCCCGGUGCUGGAAGGUUAAUUGAUGGGGUUAGCGUAAGCGAAGCUCUUGAUCGAAGCCCCAGUAAACGGCGGCCGUAACUAUAACGGUCCUAAGGUAGCGAAAUUCCUUGUCGGGUAAGUUCCGACCUGCACGAAUGGCAUAAUGAUGGCGGCGCUGUCUCCAGCAGAGGCUCAGUGAAAUCGAAAUCGCUGUGAAGAUGCAGUGUACCCGCGGCUAGACGGAAAGACCCCGUGAACCUUUACUGCAGCUUGACACUGAACUUUGACCUUACUUGUGUAGGAUAGGUGGGAGGCUUUGAAGCUGGAACGCUAGUUCCAGUGGAGCCGUCCUUGAAAUACCACCCUGGUAAUGUUGAGGUUCUAACUCUGUCCCGUGAUCCGGGACGAGGACCGUGUCUGGUGGGUAGUUUGACUGGGGCGGUCUCCUCCUAAAGAGUAACGGAGGAGUACGAAGGUGCGCUCAGCGUGGUCGGAAAUCACGCGUAGAGUAUAAAGGCAAAAGCGCGCUUAACUGCGAGACCCACAAGUCGAGCAGGUACGAAAGUAGGUCUUAGUGAUCCGGUGGUUCUGUAUGGAAGGGCCAUCGCUCAACGGAUAAAAGGUACUCUGGGGAUAACAGGCUGAUACCGCCCAAGAGUUCAUAUCGACGGCGGUGUUUGGCACCUCGAUGUCGGCUCAUCUCAUCCUGGGGCUGAAGCAGGUCCCAAGGGUAUGGCUGUUCGCCAUUUAAAGAGGUACGCGAGCUGGGUUUAGAACGUCGUGAGACAGUUCGGUCCCUAUCUACCGUGGGCGCUGGAAAUUUGAGAGGAUCUGCUCCUAGUACGAGAGGACCAGAGUGGACGAACCUCUGGUGUACCGGUUGUGACGCCAGUCGCAUCGCCGGGUAGCUAUGUUCGGAAGGGAUAACCGCUGAAAGCAUCUAAGCGGGAAGCCUACCUCAAGAUAAGAUUUCCCUAGGACUUUAUGUCCUCUAAAGAGCCGUUCGAGACUAGGACGUUGAUAGGUUGGAUGUGGAAGCAUAGUGAUAUGUGAAGCUGACCAAUACUAAUUGCUCGUGAGGCUUGACUA